CCCUUAGAUGUUCUGGGCUGCACGCGUGCUACACUGAUAUUGCCAAUAUGUCAUUCUUAUCCGAAAUGGAUUGGGUAAUCAAGUAAUGAAAUUUCAUGCUUGGAAUCGGUAAUUGCAAUUUUAUCGUGAACGAGGAAUUCCUAGUAAGCACUAGUCAUCAGCUAAUGUUGAUUAUGUCCCUGCCCUUUGUACACACCGCCCGUCGCUACUACUGAUUGGGUGUUCAAGUGAGAUGCUUAGACCCUUGUUGCAUGGUUCAUUAUUGUGCUCCGAAAGGAAAAAGUUUCAAGCCUGAGUGUCUAGAGGAAGUAAAAGUCGUAACA
rnacentral:rRNA from 1 species